rnacentral:rRNA from 1 species
GAUCUUCCUACGGGAGGCUGCAGUGGGGAAUCUUGCGCAAUGGGCGAAAGCCUGACGCAGCCAUGCCGCGUGAAUGAUGAAGGUCUUAGGAUUGUAAAAUUCUUUCACCGGGGACGAUAAUGACGGUACCCGGAGAAGAAGCCCCGGCUAACUUCGUGCCAGCAGCCGCGGUAAUACGAAGGGGGCUAGCGUUGCUCGGAAUUACUGGGCGUAAAGGGAGCGUAGGCGGACAUUUAAGUCAGGGGUGAAAUCCCGGGGCUCAACCUCGGAAUUGCCUUUGAUACUGGGUGUCUUGAGUAUGAGAGAGGUGUGUGGAACUCCGAGUGUAGAGGUGAAAUUCGUAGAUAUUCGGAAGAACACCAGUGGCGAAGGCGACACACUGGCUCAUUACUGACGCUGAGGCUCGAAAGCGUGGGGAGCAAACAGGAUUAGAUACCCUUGUAGUCGAAUUCU